ACUUCUGUGGCGUAGUUGGUAGCGCCUUGGCUUAUUAUUAAUAAGUCCCAGGUUCAAGUCCCGGUCGGGGUA